GGAUGCGAUCAUACCAGCAGUAAAGCACCGGAUCCCAUCAGAACUCUGAAGUUAAUCGUGCUUGGGCGAGAGUAGUACUAGGAUGGGUGACCUCCUGGGAAGUCCUCGUGUUGCAUUCC
rnacentral:rRNA from 1 species